rnacentral:lncRNA from 1 species
AUCAAAACAAAAGAGCUCUAGCAACCUCUAAGAUAUGCCUGUUCUUCCUUUCAUCCACCAACCAUUCCUCAACUAAAUAAGCACAGGUGAUGGUUGAUGCCAUUAUCAGAUAAGAAAGGGUUACGUUGCUACCAUCAAAACAUUCUUAUAAAAUUGUGUGCGACCGCCUUCAACACAUGACUUCAUUCUUUUUUAACAUUUCACGUAUAAAUCCAUGUAGCUCUAGACAUCUACAAAAGUGACAAAAUAGCGAUGGCCAGAAUAAGAAGUAGUGGAUGCAGGUCCCCAGACAUCGGAGUGAACAAGAUUUUCAUAAUCCCAAGAAUUGUGCCUUUUUUUUAGGAAGAUUACCAAUGAUUUGCCAAUUGGCAUGUAGAGCAAGUCUUCUUAUUAUCUAAAAAAAAACGGAAUUGAGGGUGCUCAAGGUAUACUUCCAUGGCGAGUCAUCUAAGACAGGAUCAUGAAGGUGGCCCAACCUUUUAUGCCAACCCCCCCAAGCUUUAUUCGCUGAACCUUGAACUGCUAACCACAUUAGCUACCAACAAAGAUAAUGCUUAUGAAGAAGCCACGUCCAUAACAUAAAGUAGAGUCCCUCUCUCUCUUUACCUCGUCCAAUCAUCUUCCCGGUCUUGAAUGACACAAUGAGAAGGAAAGAGAGUCACAGAACCGUUCAAGGUUUUUGCAAAAAGACUAAGACUAAUGGAUGGAAAGGGUCCAAUUUAGGAAUAUAAAGAACUUUGGACAAAGAAAAGGAAGGAGGUAGACUUGCUUUUUGAAUAGGUAAAGCAAGAAGUCAGCAAGAAGGACACGAGGCGGUAUAAUCUAAGAGGUAAACAUAUAAGAGUUACCCGUCAUAUGGUUAGGUGCUCAAGAAUCC